UACGUAGGGUGCAAGCGUUAAUCGGAAUUACUGGGCGUAAAGGGCUCGUAGGCGGCCAACUAAGUCAUACGUGAAAUCCCUCGGCUUAACCGGGGAACUGCGUCUGAUACUGGAUGGCUUGAGAUUGGGAGAGGGAUGCGGAAUUCCAGGUGUAGCGGUGAAAUGCGUAGAUAUCGGGAGGAACACCAGUGGCGAAGGCGACUACCUGGCCUGUUCUUGACGCUGAGGCGCGAAAGCUAGGGGAGCAAACGGGG
rnacentral:rRNA from 1 species